UUGGCUCGUCGCUCCUUUUUCUUUUUCUGAGAAGAGUUUUUUUUUCCUUCCCCAGCCCAGGGAUGGGAGGCCGCCCUCCUCCUUGGCGGGGGCUCGGGCCCUGUCUCUUGGAAGAGCAGCCCAGCUGACCACAGGCCCAUGGGCCCCGGAACCCGCUCCACAGCCAAGCCCAGGCCGGCCCACCUCCAGAUGGAACCAAGUUCAGCGGCGAUUGAAGAAAACACGCACCCAGAGCAGAAAACGGAGCAACGCAUACCUGCACCCCACGAGCUAGGAAGCUGAGUGCCGGAGAAGGGACUCAACAAAGCUGAGUUGAGAACCUGGCUGCAUGAACCCACAUCCCCUCCCUCCGCCAAGGUCCCUGGAGCACUGACCACCGACCAUGCCCAGGUCCCGGCACUGGGGUAGUCGACAAGGAGCCAAAGAGACACAAGUCCUUGCCUGGCGAAGCUCACAUUCUGGGGCAGGAGUCAACUCACUGCAGGAGCCAGAAGCAGGGGCCAGCUCCCAUGAGAGUCCGGGCGAGAGAGGACGCAGGCGGGACCAGAGGCCAAGCGGCGGGAAUGAUGGGAGCGAGUCUAUGGAGAGACACGUUCAAAGCAAAGUGGAAAAGGCAGGGGUGACAGAUGGACACCGGCUCAUCCUGCGGAGUUCCUCCGGCCACAGUGCCCAGUGAAGCCCUGCGGGGUGGACGCGGGUCUUGGUGGCUUUCACAAGCUGCUACAAGGACCUGAGACCCACCUGCCCGCUCUCGAAGUGGGUGCUGGGGACGUAACGGGGGAGGACGGCCACGAGAGGCGCUAACGCGGGGUCUCACAGGGGGCUGUGAAGGCGCCAGGAGGGGUGUCCCCAAGCCCUGCCCACAGAAGCGGCAGAGAGGCCUGGGGACAGACCACCUGCAAAGCCCACCACUGCAAGAGUGUUCAUGCCCGAGUGGGACUGCUUCCUGCUUCCUCGGCACGGUGCAGCCCACCCGCUUCUGAGGAAGCCGGGCAGGAAAGAGGCCCAGGAGGCCGUGCUGCUCCUGGUCUAAGAAGGCCGGGCUCCCUGCCUCUCUGCUCCAGCUCAUCCGCUCUCUUGGUCAGAGAAGAACCUUGCGCAGGCUGGCCAGCACUGGGCCCACCACCCGGGCCCCCAGGCCACACUCUCCUUCUCCACCAGCUCCCGCUCCUGACAUCUCUGAGAUGGCAGCUCUUACUCCAGCCGCACUUUGGAGGUCUGGCCUGAUCCUGCUGCCCCCCCCACCUGCUGGAAACCACCUACUUAGUGGGUGGAGACCAGGAGGGAUGUGGGUCUUGGCCUGGCAGGGGCGGCAAAGCCCCGCUUGGCACUAUUCACCGGGGGGUGAGGGGAUGGCCUCCCCUCACCGCUCGCCGGAGGACUCCACCUGGGCCAGAUACUUACUUCUGGCGAGGACAAAGCCGGGCUCUGGGUGAGCCAACCCCGCCGCCCCAGUGGCCACAUCUCCCAGAGCUCUGCUUGCGGGCCCUCUGGACUCAGUCUGCCAAGCCUGCUUGCUCAGUCCACAGCCCCACCGGGACAGCGGGCUUCCA